CCUACGGGUGGCUGCAGUGGGGAAUAUUGGACAAUGGGGGCAACCCUGAUCCAGCCAUGCCGCGUGUGUGAAGAAGGCCCUCGGGUUGUAAAGCACUUUCAGUGAGGAAGAACGCCUGGUGGUUAAUACCCAUCAGGAAAGACAUCACUCACAGAAGAAGCACCGGCUAACUCCGUGCCAGCAGCCGCGGUAAUACGGAGGGUGCGAGCGUUAAUCGGAAUUACUGGGCGUAAAGCGCGCGUAGGUGGCUUGAUAAGCCGGUUGUGAAAGCCCCGGGCUCAACCUGGGAACGGCAUCCGGAACUGUCAAGCUAGAGUGCAGGAGAGGAAGGUAGAAUUCCCGGUGUAGCGGUGAAAUGCGUAGAGAUCGGGAGGAAUACCAGUGGCGAAGGCGGCCUUCUGGACUGACACUGACACUGAGGUGCGAAAGCGUGGGUAGCAAACAGGAUUAGAUACCCGGUAGUC
rnacentral:rRNA from 1 species